CGCAGCCGCGGUAAUUCCAGCUCCAAUAGCGUAUAUUAAAGUUGUUGCAGUUAAAAGCUCGUAGUUGAAUUUCGGGAUCAAUAUGUCGGUCGUGCCUUCGGUACGUACUGGUAUCAUUGGUCUCUCCUUUCUGACGAACCAUGAUGUCAUUAAUUUGGUGUUAUGGGGAGUUAGGACUGUUACUUUGAAAAAUUAGAGUGUUUAAAGCAGGCUUUAGCUUGAAUACAUUAGCAUGGAAUAAUGAAAUAGGACGUUCGAACCUAUUUUGUUGGUUUCUAGGAUCAACGUAAUGAUUAAUAGGGAUAGUUGGGGGCAUUAGUAUUCAAUUGUCAGAGGUGAAAUUCUUGGAUUUAUUGAAGACUAACUACUGCGAAAGCAUUUGCCAAGGAUGUUUUCAUUAAUCAAGAACGAAAGUUAGGGGAUCGAAGACGAUCAGAUACCGUCGUAGUCUUAACCAUAAACUAUGCCGACUAGGGAUCGGAUGAUGUUAAUUUUUUAAUGACUCAUUCGGCGCCUUACG
rnacentral:misc_RNA from 1 species